rnacentral:tRNA from 1 species
GCAGUGGUGUUCAGUGGUAGAAUUCUUGCCUUCCAUGUGAGAGACCUGGUUUUGAUUCCCAUCCAAUGCA